rnacentral:rRNA from 1 species
UCAGGCCUAACACAUGCAAGUCGAACGAGGACCAGGGAGCUUGCUCCCUGUAGCCGAGUGGCGAACGGGUGAGUAACACGUGACCAACCUACCCUCAGGUGGGGGACAACCCGGGGAAACCUGGGCUAAUACCGCAUUACGUCUGGCCAUCGCAUGGUGGCCUGAUCAAAGGGUGCUUCCUGCACUCGCCUGAGGAGGGGGUCGCGCAGUAUCAGCUAGUUGGUGAGGUAACGGCUCACCAAGGCUACGACGCUUAGCGGGUCUGAGAGGACGAUCCGCCACAUUGGGACUGAGAUACGGCCCAGACUCCUACGGGAGGCAGCAGUGGGGAAUUUUGCGCAAUGGGCGAAAGCCUGACGCAGCGACGCCGCGUGUGGGAGGAAGCCUUUCGGGGUGUAAACCCCUGUCAGAAGGGAAGAACAUCCAAGAGUCGAAUAGGCUCUUGGCCUGACGGUACCUUCAGAGGAAGCACCGGCUAACUCCGUGCCAGCAGCCGCGGUAAUACGGAGGGUGCAAGCGUUGUUCGGAAUUACUGGGCGUAAAGCGCGGGCAGGUGGUCUGUUAAGUCUUCUGUGAAAACCCGGGGCUCAACUCCGUGGACCGCAGAAGAUACUGGCAGACUAGAGAGUGGUAGAGGCAAGCGGAAUUCCUGGUGUAGCGGUGGAAUGCGUAGAUAUCAGGAAGAACACCUGUGGCGAAG